rnacentral:rRNA from 1 species
UCAAUAAGCGGAGGAAAAGAAACCAACAGGGAUUGCCCUAGUAACGGCGAGUGAAGCGGCAACAGCUCAAAUUUGAAAUCUGGCCCCCGGGUCCGAGUUGUAAUUUGUAGAGGAUGCUUUUGGUGCGGUACCUUCCGAGUUCCCUGGAACGGGACGCCAUAGAGGGUGAGAGCCCCGUCUGGUUGGACGCCAAUCCUUUGUAAAGCUCCUUCGACGAGUCGAGUAGUUUGGGAAUGCUGCUCUAAAUGGGAGGUAUAUGUCUUCUAAAGCUAAAUAUUGGCCAGAGACCGAUAGCGCACAAGUAGAGUGAUCGAAAGAUGAAAAGCACUUUGAAAAGAGAGUUAAAAAGUACGUGAAAUUGUUGAAAGGGAAGCGCUCAUGACCAGACUUGGGCCCGGUUGAUCAUCCAGGGUUCUCCCUGGUGCACUCUUCCGGCCCAGGCCAGCAUCAGUUCGCCGUGGGGGACAAAGGCUUCGGGAAUGUGGCUCCUCCGGGAGUGUUAUAGCCCGCUGCGUAAUACCCUGUGGCGGACUGAGGUUCGCGCAUCUGCAAGGAUGCUGGCGUAAUGGUCAUCAGCGACCCGUCUUGAAACACGGACCAAGGAGUCGUCUUCGUAUGCGAGUGUUCGGGUGUUAAACCCCUACGCGGAAUGAAAGUGAACGCAGGUGAGAGCUUCGGCGCAUCAUCGACCGAUCCUGAUGUUCUCGGAUGGAUUUGAGUAAGAGCAUACGGGGCCGGACCCGAAAGAAGGUGAACUAUGCCUGUAUAGGGUGAAGCCAGAGGAAACUCUGGUGGAGGCUCGCAGCGGUUCUGACGUGCAAAUCGAUCGUCAAAUAUGGGCAUGGGGGCGAAAG